UACAGAGGUCUCAAGCGUUGUUCGGAUUCAUUGGGCGUAAAGGGCGCGUAGGCGGCGGGGUAAGUCGGGUGUGAAAUCUCAGAGCUCAACUCUGAAAUGGCACUUGAUACUGCUCUGCUAGAGGACUGGAGAGGAGAUUGGAAUUCACGGUGUAGCAGUGAAAUGCGUAGAUAUCGUAAGGAAGACCAGUGGCGAAGGCGGGUCUCUGGACAGUUCCUGACGCUGAGGCACGAAGGCCAGGGGAGCAAACGGG
rnacentral:rRNA from 1 species